AAUUAAUUUUUUUAAAAAAGUUUCGUAAAAUUUGUUAUUAUUACUUGUAAUGAAAUAUAUUUUAAAUUAAUUUUUCAACGUAUAUUUAAAGACUUUCAGCCUUUUCUUUUCUGGAGUUUCGUGGUAACUUCAUAAGUUACAAGGGAAAGAGUACUUUAAUACUGAAAGCUCUUGUUUGACGUAUAUGGAAAAUACGUUUUUUUUUAAAAUAUAACUUCGGUGGUAAUGAUGCAACAUAAAGCAGAAUUUUAAAUUAUAAAAUCGCUUUCAAGUUUUAAUAUUCUAUUAAUCUGUUGUAAGAAAUAUUUUUAAACGAAUUUAUGUUAUACAAAAGAUGGACAAAUAAUAAAAAUUUGUGGAUCUUUCAUGCAAUAAAUUAUGCACAUCAUUACAUACACAAACUUUUAUUAAAAUCAAAAUUUUUCAAAUCAGAUCCUCGUAAUAUCGUGAAGAUUUUUGAGAAUGAUUCCUAUAUAAUUAUCCUCUUAUUGUUAGAAUUACUAUUUUUUGCGAUACCAAUAUUUUUUUUGUCAAUUUCCUUAAUUUUUUUUUUAUAACCCUAAAAAAAAUUUCUAAAAGAAAUUCAAGAAUCUACUUCAUCACUUAGAAUAUUUUGUAUAUCUUUCUAAAAUAUUAAAAAAUAUGUUUCGAAUAAAAUAUUGAACGUAAAAAGAGAUAUGACUUAAUAUUACUACCAUAUAGUACAUUGAUAUAUUAGUGUGCAUAAUACUAUAGCAAAAUUCUCUUCUACGUAAAUACUUGCGUAUAAAAUUGUAAAAACUGAAAAAUUAAAAAUCAAACAAUGACAGACGCGUGAACACUCGAGUUCCUCGUAAUUACGUUUCAAAUGACGAUAGUUUCCGAUCUCUUCUAACCGCAUCUACGCAAGCUAGCCAAUAGAUACACGAAAGCGAGAGAUACGACACGUGCACGCGACAGAUGCUCUCUAGUAUAUUGCAUUUGGAUACCGCAAAUGGCAUACCGGAGCCAUGGGUCGAUAUUACCGAUUCCUUGUGGAUCGACAUAUAUUAAACGGUUGGCCCAGUGAACUUGUUUCAAGAUGUCUUAGCUUUCGUUUGUUGGGAUUAAUUAAACGUGUAUGCGUACAUAUAUCGGACGUCCUUUUCUCACACAAAGAGAAACGAGAGAAUUUCAGCGAGGCAGCCAAUUAGCGAAAUGAAAGGCCCCAAUGAAAUUCGAAGCCUCAGGUGUUGGUAUCUUCGACACUCUCUGUCUUUAUAGAGAAAUUGUGCGUAUUGUCGUCAAAUUCGGAUGGAUAUUCGCUUCGAACGAGAAUUGGAAAAUUGUCCAACCAUUUUCGUUUUCGUCUCGUCGAGGAAAUGGGCUGGCGUCCGUUUGUGUCUUGCACAAAUAUAUCGACGAUAAUUGGAAUUUUCUCUUUCUUAUAAACGUGUGCUUUAAUUCAGCGGGUUUUGCUCUUUCUUUUCUUCUAUUAUCAUUUAUCGAAGAGCUUUAAUUAAUUCGAAUUAUUUGAUACGUUCGAUGUAUAUUCUCAUAAUAUUAUUUUUUUCGAUAUAUUAUCGGUGAAAGAAUUGAAUGAGACAGAAAAACGGGAAAAUGGUGGAAAUUUCAUUUAUUACAAUUAAUGGAGAUUUUCAAAGGAGAUUAAAAAAAAGGACGAGAAACUAAUAGAAUUUGUAUUCGUCUCUCGAUCUUUUAUAUUAUAUAGAAUAUUGGAAAUAUUUUAAUAUUAGAUACGUUUUUUCCCCGCAAGAUGAGGAAUAACAUCAGAUUUUAGUAUAUGUAAGAUAUAAAAAAAAUGCAUAAAAGCUUAGCAGUAGUAAUUAUUUUUUAAUUACAUCAAUAAUUAAUUUAAAAAUAAACUAAUUGUCGGAAAAAAAAUAGGUAGAAAUAAAAUAACUUUAAAUAAUGGUUACAAUUAAUACAAUAUUAGAUGUUAAAUCUUACAUAUCACAUACGAUUAUGGGAUAAUAAUUAAAAAAGAGAAGAAUAAUUUUAUGCAUUUUCAUAUUUAUAAUUAAAUAUAACGUUACAAUUUAAUUUAAUAAUUUAAUAUUAGUUAAUAUUAGUUAUCCGAUAAGUUAAUAAUUAAAGCAAAUGUAAAUUUUUGUAUUGGAAAAUUUAUAAUUAAAUACAUAAAGUAACCAAGGUAUAUUAGAUUUCAUUAUUAAUACGUCAAUACAUUGUUAAAUUCAAAUUUUCUAUGCAAAUUCUUACUUUCUUUAAAAAUAAAUAUUUACUUUUAUAUUUUACAUAUUUCUCUCUCUCUCUCUCUCUCUCUCUCUCUAUAUAUAUAUAUAUAUAUAUAUGUAUACAUAUAUUAUACAUUUUUACAUAUCUAGUAUCUUUUGAUUUUAUCUCUAGAUAUUUUUUGAUCUCUAUUAUAUAUAAUUGUUGAUUCAUUUUUCAAAUUCAUUCGUAUCAUUUUAGAUAAGUAUUCUUAAUUCCCUCGCAAUUAUUUAUUAUUUCAUUUAUAUUCAUUUUAAAUUUCCAUACAUGUUUAUCUUCGAUUUAAUUAUAUUUUUCUCGCAAAAAUUUGAAUUUUAGACAAUUCAGCAUCAGAUAACACUCUAAUAGGAUUCAAAUAGGAAGAAACACGUGGAUUUUUUUUAUACAAUUGCUCAUUUAUUCUUACACACAUUUAUUAAAAUUAAGAAAUCAACUGAUCGUUCGUUUUAAAUUCUUUUUUUUUAUCUCUAUUUAUUCUUUAUACGUGCACUUUUCUAGAAUUAAUUUUAAUUCUAAUCCCUUCAGAGGAUGAAAUAAAUAUAAAUAAAUUUCCAAAACGAUUAACUUGUUAACUUUUAUCAAUAAAUAAUAUAUCAUUACUUAUACGAAUUAUAUCUGAUACGUUCAAUAAAUGGUGUUAAAUUGAAGAUUGAAAUUUAAGAUUCUUCUCCUUUUCUAUCGCAUUGUUCUCACCGAUAAAUUGAUAAGAAGUUUACGGUAUUUAGUUUAUUUGAUAUUUAUCAGUACGAUCGAGUAAAUAAUUUUUCAUAAAAUUAAAAUCAAAAUAAUGGACGAGGAUGAAAGAUUUCAAUCGGUAUUGUUCACAGAUUAUCUCUGUGAUGUUUGUACGUAUGUAUUUGCGAUUGACACCAUCGAGUUGGUCAAGCAGCAUAGCCAGAUUGCAUGACUAGAUUGCGUGACUAGAUUGCAUGGCCGGAUAUCGGUGUCGGCAUACAAUGCAGCAUCUAUUGCAUUGCAUUAACGUAAGAUAGCGCACCUGUUCAAUGCAGCGUUACCCCUCUAUUCCACUCUACACCAGAAAUAAUUUAUACCGCGAUAUUUCUAUCGAUAUUGUAUCGUACAGUUUUUUUCAAUGCUGUUGGAUAAAAUGAUAGCAAUAAAUACAAGGAAAAAUAAAAAAAAAAAAGAAGAAGAAAAAGAAAAA